rnacentral:rRNA from 1 species
GAUGAACGCUGGCGGCGUGCCUAAUACAUGCAAGUCGAGCGAACAGAUGAGGAGCUUGCUCCUCUGACGUUAGCGGCGGACGGGUGAGUAACACGUGGAUAACCUACCUAUAAGACUGGGAUAACUUCGGGAAACCGGAGCUAAUACCGGAUAAUAUAUUGAACCGCAUGGUUCAAUAGUGAAAGACGGUUUUGCUGUCACUUAUAGAUGGAUCCGCGCCGCAUUAGCUAGUUGGUAAGGUAACGGCUUACCAAGGCAACGAUGCGUAGCCGACCUGAGAGGGUGAUCGGCCACACUGGAACUGGGACACGGUCCAGACUCCUACGGGAGGCAGCAGUAGGGAAUCUUCCGCAAUGGGCGAAAGCUUGACGGAGCAACGCCGCGUGAGUGAUGAAGGUCUUCGGAUCGUAAAACUCUGUUAUUAGGGAAGAACAAAUGUGUAAGUAACUAUGCACGUCUUGACGGUACCUAAUCAGAAAGCCACGGCUAACUACGU